rnacentral:misc_RNA from 1 species
GUGAAAUAAAAAUCAAAUCAUAACUGUCAAAACUGAAAUCGUCCUCAAACGGCCCUUACAAUCUAAUUCAGGCCUAGCCAGCCAUUACCCCCUCUCCCCCAACACACACAGAUAUUUUGACUCAACCCCAACUAGAACCAUCAAAGGGAUGAGCAUGGACCUGCAUUUUAUCAUAGCCAUCCAUUUUAGCCUUCAAAAACCAUGGAACUUACGAGUUCCCAGUUAGAAUUUGCAUGGAGAUUGUUUGUUAGUGGUCUCCAUGUAGGUUCGGUGCUACAUUGUUUACUCCCCCAGAAUCCAGGCUUAUGUUGCAAGUGUUUCAGCCGCCAGGGUUGCCAGAAACAGCAACGGUGAGAUCAUCUCCAGCUUUGCUUGAAGGUUUCCUGAUGUGGCUUCCCCUUUGAUUCCUUAAGCCUUUGCCCAACGUGAAGCGGUUCUCUCGGCCAAGUCAAACAACUGGUCCAAUGUCGAAUUUUAGGGGUACUUGAAGAUGGUAGUUGAUGCUUCCUCAAGGCGUAUUUCUACCACCCACAGAAAUAGGACCAGUUAUAGCUGAUGUUCAGUCUAUUAGUUGCAUUUUCCUUUCCAGUUGCUACCUUUUUGUUAUAAGAGGUGACAAUUGGGCUGCCCACAUAUUGGCAACAAAAGCCGUUUCUGAUGUUAGUUUUUAUUCCCAUGCUCAGGCACAAGUGAGAUGGAUCGGCCAGAAUCAUAGAAUGCAAUCCCUCGUUUCACUUUAAUGAACAUGGAUUUUAUCUCUUGGGGAAAGAAAUAGAGAGGUUACAUUUUAUCAUAGCCACCGACUCAUUUAAGUCUUCACAAACUUUAGCAAAAUCAAAGGUAAGACCAUGGAACCCAAAAAGAAAGUAAAGCGAUCACUACUAACAUGCAACACGACAUGAAUGUGAGCCUCAAAAAUCAUAAUAAUGCAAGAAAAUCUAGAAAUUUAUUUAGCCUUUUACCAAACAUUUAUUUACAUACUACAAACCACAUGCCAACAAGUCCUUCAAAUUGAUUCAGUCAAACCAUCCACAACAUGCACUGAAUUCUACAUCCAGAAGAAAAAAAUGGAUAUGAAAUGGAUUUACUCACAGCAAAGCAUAUCUGCUUUGCUCCAAUUUCAUCGAAUUGCUCCAAGCAAAUUGGCACCAUCA